rnacentral:rRNA from 1 species
UACGAAGGGUGCAAGCGUUACUCGGAAUACUGGCGUAAGCGUGCGCAGGCGGUUGUGCAAGACAGAUGUGGAAAUCCCCGGGCUCAACCCUGGGAACUGCAUUUGUGACUGCACGGCUGGAGUGCGGCAGAGGGGGAUGGAAUUCCACGUGUAGCAGUGAAAUGCGUAGAGAUGUGGAGGAACACCGAUGGCGAAGGCAGCCCCCUGGGCUAACACUGACGCUCAUGCACGAAGCGUGGGGAGCAAACAGG